rnacentral:lncRNA from 1 species
GCUGACUGGUCCAUUUUACAGAGAGCUGAUCGGUCCAUUUUACAGAGUGCUGAGUGGUCCGUUUUGACAGAGUGCUGAUUGGUGCGUUUACAAACCUUUAGCUAGACACAAAAGUUCUCCAAGUCCCCUACCUGAUUAGCUAGACACAGAGCGCUGACUGGUGCGUUUACAAACCUUUAGCUAGACACAGUGCUGAUUGGUGCGUUUACAAUCUUUUAGCUAGACAGAAAAGUUCUCCAAGUCCCCAUCCGUCCCAGAAGCCCAGCCGGCUUCAUCUCUCACUGGCAUUGGCAGGGCAGCGGGACUUUGCGACACCUAGCCCGGGCACUCCAGCAGCCCAGAGGGAGCUCCUCCCAGACAAUCAAGAGGGAAAGAGGGGAAGCAGAAAGAGACGGAGACCUGCUAUCUUGGCCAACGAUCCCGUGAAGAGGGAACGGCGGUCUACGCAGGGAAUUCAGCUUCCUAUCAAGCCUAGCAGGUGCUGGGCUUCGUUGCUGUUUCUGGCAGAGUCCUGCUUCUCGCGCCCGCUGCACUGGGUUUGGCGUCUCUGCUGUUCGCUGAGAUCUGCACACUCCAGGAGCCAUAGGGAGGACGCCAGGACAGCCCCGAAGACGAGAAUGCCUCGCUCCUCCUAGGACGGGAGGAAAAUCCCACAAAUCCUGUCUACUCCAAGCAGCCGCGCCCCUCGGGAGACCACCCCAGUUGGAGGGGCCCACUCCAGCCACCGCUACACCGGGACGCGCUCCUCCUCCCCCUGUGCCCGCCCCUUCUCGUGAGGGACCACCAGGAGGCCCCUCGAUUCCCCAGCAAAACACAGGUUUUGGAGCCAGAGUUUCUGAGUUUGAAUGUUUGGUCUGCUACUGACCAACUCUAUGGGCUUGGGCCUGCAAAGAAAACAUCAAAGAAGAAGGUCAAAAACCAAUUACAUUCUAGGAGUGACCUUGAUGACUUAACUCUGUAAUCUGCAGCAACCUCAGAGGAUCAUGGGAUGCAUUAUGCACGUCAUGGAAUGGAUUGUAAUGUGUAACAUCUAUGAAAUCAAAGGAUGAAGAAGAUCGUGCCCAGAGCUCUCCUUGGGGGUGGAUGACAGAAUGAACAUUUACUCUGGGCUCACUGGAAAAGCUCCAACGUCUUGGAAAUUGAGUGGGUAUAAGGAAUGCACAAAUUAGUUUUCCUGUGACAGCAUGCAGAGCACUUUUCCAAGCCCCGUCACCUGUCCUUAGUUCCUCUGAACUAUACAGAGGAACAAAUCAAUAUAAAUGCAGAAGAGAAAAGAUGAGAUCAGCUGAUUUUGGUGUUGAUAUGGGUAAUAUCUGAUUUACAUUCAGUUUUCAUGUGGGAUCUCUGUGCCUGGCUUGGUUUAAUGAUUCAAAGUGACAAUACAGUCAACUUCUGAGAAAAUGAUCUAUGGAAAAUUGAAAGUUUAAAAUAUUUUCUUCCUCCUAACUUUGAAGAGGACUUGUUUCAUAUCAAAUCUGCCUGUUCAUCUGCCUGUCCGUCCACUCACUGUUUAUCCAUGGAUCUUGGUGUUAGCUUCUGAGGUGGUAAUGAAUUCAAAACCCUUCUGUUCCUACUCUCAUAUUAAAGGUUCAAAAAUCAACCUUGAUUGCAAUGAAGCACUAAGCCCACAACCACAACUCAGGUGAGGGCUGCCUUGAGGGUUGAAUGGGUUAAUUAAAUAAAAUGUGUAUUAUAUAUCUCGAAGAAAGUAGAGGUAUAUCAACUUGCUUGGUAUCUCACAGCUUAGCAAGUUCCAGAGGGGCACUCAAACCCAGGAGAUAAGCUUCCAAGUCAGGGCUAAUGCCAUGACACCCAUGAUUUAUGGGUGGAUUGGUGGCAGGACAAGAUAGAAAGGAACCAGCGGUGGCUCAGGGUUUUGACCUGAGCAACCAGGGAGAGGAGGUGUCGUGUAGACAGAUAGGAAAGACACAAUUCUUUGAACACAUUUGGGACUCAGAUAGUCAAGGCAGCAAGGAUGAAGAUGGUUUGUCUCAUCACCCGUCUUCCAGGUGACUCUGGUGGGCUCCCUCUUUGAAAGGGUGCCUUCUGGGGGCUGACUUUCAGGCUAGCGGUUGGCUUCUUUUGACUGGGGGUCAAGUGGGCCUCCAGACACCCUGAGCUGCAUGGAGAACAGCAAGGGCCUUUUGCUCAUCUGCAGUGUACAGCACUGCCUCUACUUCAUCUUGAUGCUGCUCCUGGUCAGUCUUCUCGGCACGCUGGGGACCUCCUUACUCACAGACCCAAUUCCUGUUAAACAAGUUAAGUGCUGCCAGGUAGGGUGCUCUGGGGUGGACCCUGCAGUUCUAGGGAGUCACUGAAGAAUAGGGAAAUUCCUGCAUUGUCUUUGGAAAGGGGAGGGUUUGGGGGAGCAUUGGGGUGGGCAGAAACAGGCAGGUACAUUUUAAAGGGCUCAGCAGAGUGAAACAAAGCUGAACUCAACCAGAUGUCCUGCAGCGAUUUGCCAGGUAUUCCUUUAGAUCGAGAAGUUUGGCUUUUAAAAUGCAAAUUUUCCUUGGAAGUUUUAAAUCCACCAACCUUAGUAUGAAUUAAUGCAAUCAGGGCACUCCCAGCUGUUACCCACCCAGGGGGAAUGAAGCCAAUGGACAUUCAGCCCCCACUGUAGUGCAGUAGGUGAGAGCAUGGCAGGCUCUGGAGCAGACUGCCAGGAUGCCGAUCCUAGCCUUGCCCUUACUAGUGUGUGUGAUCCCGGAUGAAUAUUUAACUUUUCUGUGGCUCAGUUAAAUGGAUGUAAUAAUAUCUACCUCAAAGAUCAGUUAUGAGGAUUAAAUGAGUUAAUCAAUGUAAAGCACUUAGAACAGUGUUUCGCAUAUGUACGCCUCAUCUUAGUAUUAGCUGCUGUUAUUGUUACUAUUAAUAAACAAUCCUUGAAGAGCAAGAACCGAAUUAUCUGUGCCCCACAAUACCCAGCAUCACUCCAUUACUAUGACAGACCUGCCACAUGUAUUUCUUGGAUGGGUUACUCAAUGGAUCUCUUUGCCACUUCUACAUUUUUCUUCUUCUACUUUGUUUUAUAGCAGAGGAGGGGCAGAAUUUAGGUGGAGUUCAUUGCUCAGCUGGACUGAAAAAGCUGAACUGGAAUAACUUUCAGUGAACAUGGGCAGUGGGUAAACAUUGGGAAUUUGCAGACUUUCAAAUGAGUCCUCUCUCGAGCACACAUCCUCUAAGUUAGUAGCAACACCAUUAACUCUUUGAAGACUAGGAAGGCACAGUCUUAUUGUCUCUGUAUCCUUAGUCCCCAGCACAGGGGUUCGUAGAAGAGGAAUGACUGAAUCUUCAGGUGUCUGUGGGCUGCCAGGAGGACACUUGGCCAAGAACUAUGUCUCAUCUUGCUUUCUGAGACCUCUUCCCCUCUUUUACACUUGUUCCUGUCUUUUGAAUACCAGGAAGCCCAGGUUGCCUUCUGACCUUCAGAGGCCCUCACACCACCUAUUCCGGGGGCUCCAGUACCAUCUUUCCCUGUAAAUGAGGCAGCACAGACUUUGAAUUUAGGCAAACCUGGGUUCAAGUUUCAGCUUCACUGGUAUCUUGCUACACUCAUAACCGUAGACAAUUUUACUUAUUUUUGUUAAGUCUCAGUAUCUUCAUCUGCAAAAUGUGGAUAAUAGUAACUAUCUCAUGGAAUUGUCAUGAGGGAGUUUCUUAAAUGUAGUUAUGUACAGAACUCUUUUAAAGGAACUCCUAAAAUCUCAAUGUUUAUCCAAAUGAGUUUUUCAAUAAUGCUACUUGGAUACAUGCAAAUAUAAUGUUCUAUAAUAUUUAGCUAUAAAUUCAAUGUUUUUAUACAACCUAAACAAAAUUACAAACUAAAUACAAAUAAAACUAUAACAUUAAUAAAAUACAAAUUAACAAUUUUAAUGUAACAGAUAAUGUUUUGCUGAAAUUAAAC